rnacentral:rRNA from 1 species
AUUGAACGCUGGCGGCAUGCCUUACACAUGCAAGUCGAACGGCAGCACGGGUGCUUGCACCUGGUGGCGAGUGGCGAACGGGUGAGUAAUACAUCGGAACAUGUCCUGUAGUGGGGGAUAGCCCGGCGAAAGCCGGAUUAAUACCGCAUACGAUCUACGGCUGAAAGCGGGGGACCUUCGGGCCUCGCGCUAUAGGGUUGGCCGAUGGCUGAUUAGCUAGUUGGUGGGGUAAAGGCCUACCAAGGCGACGAUCAGUAGCUUGUCUGAGAGGACGACCAGCCACACUGGGACUGAGACACGGCCCAGACUCCUACGGGAGGCAGCAGUGGGGAAUUUUGGACAAUGGGCGAAAGCCUGAUCCAGCAAUGCCGCGUGUGUGAAGAAGGCCUUCGGGUUGUAAAGCACUUUUGUCCGGAAAGAAAUCCUUGGCCCUAAUACGGUCGGGGGAUGACGGUACCGGAAGAAUAAGCACCGGCUAACUACGUG